GCACUCGUAGCUCAACUGGAUAGAGCACCAGACUACGAAUCUGGGGGUUGGGGGUUCGAGUCCUCCCGAGUGCACCA
rnacentral:tRNA from 3 species